rnacentral:lncRNA from 1 species
CUGAAGUGGUACCAGCAGUGUUGAGAAUGACAGUACAUAUGUUAUGACUAUUUGAAUUUCAGAAAGCCUUUGGUUAAAUUCUGCAUAAUUGGUUCCUGCUUAAGAUAGACCCUGCAAGAAUCCAGGAGGAGACGUGGGAGUAGAUAAAGAAUGAGUGGAAGAAACAAAAAACAGACACUCCUGGAGAGAAGGAAAGAAAAAAAAAAGGAGUGAAGGAGAGGAAGAAAAGGAGAGAGAACAGGCUGUACAAGAAGCAUGACAUUGGCAUCUGCAUCUGGUGAAGGCUUCAGGUCAUCUCUACUCAUGGCAGAAGCUAAAGAGGGGCCACCAUGUUCAAAGAUCACAUGGCAAGAGAGAAAGUGGGAAUGGGGGUUAUAUCAGGCUGUUUUCAACUACCAGCUUUCAUGAGAACAUAACAGAGCAAGAAUUCAGUCAUCCUUAAUGGAUGACAUUAAUCUAUUCAUGAGAAAUCCUCUCCCAUGAAACAAACUGUUCCUAUUGGACCCCAUGUCCAACACUGUGAUCAAAUUCCAACAUGACACUUGGAGAGGACGAAGAAACCAUAGCGGCAACAUUUGGCUGGAGUGCAGUGGCCUGAUCACAGCUCAGCUCACCGCAGCCUUGACCUCCCAGGCUCAAUCAGUCUUCCCACCUCAGACUCCCAAGUAGCCAGGACUAAAGGCCCAAUUAACUUUUUUAGGAGUUUCAUGGAAAUAGGAUUCCACCAUGUUGCCCAGGCUGGUCUCAAACGCCUGGGCUCAAGUGAUCCUCCUGCUACCUCUACCUCCCAAAGUUCUGGAAUUGCAAGCAUGAGCCACCACACCUGACCUAAAUUGUAAAUUUAUAGUAUGUUUUCUGUUAUCAGAUUAAACUUAUAUUUGCAACCUCUUGAGUUUGUAAAAUGCUUUCAUUUAUAUUUGCCAUUAAAACCAAC